rnacentral:lncRNA from 1 species
CUUGAACUCAUGAUCUUUCCACCUCAGGGGUCUUCAGAAUUAAGGUGAUAGAUAUCACUAAGAAUUCAAGUAUUUAGGGAUGCCACUGAAAUAUGGUUUCUAAGGUAAACAUUUUGUGAACACCGACAUAGCUAAGCUACUGGGCUAGCUUGCAGCUCACAGCCAGGUAAAGUGCUGGUCCUACAGUGUUCUAAGCGCAGCCCCAGACUCAUAAAAGCGGAGUUUCAUAGGGAUCGAUUGAGCUUCCUGACCACAGACCAUUUGGAUCUCAUCUCACACUAACAAGAGCGGAGCCGGUCCACCACAUUCGCCAUCCAGAAGUGCGUUUCAUCGCAUCGCGUCUGUAUCUGACCAGAAAAAGAGCUGGCAUGUCACAGCAAGUCAACCGAUACUGUCACCUUGGGGAGUGGAGAUGCUGGAGUUGAUUAACAGAAAGUACUGGAGAUGGGCAACUUAAGCUGUCAGUAAAGGAAGCCUCUUUGGGAUUCUAUGGGCAAUGCUUCUGCGCCUUUUGGAUAACAUCAAGGGGAG